rnacentral:rRNA from 1 species
GCAUAUCAAUAAGCGGAGGAAAAGAAACCAACAGGGAUUGCCCCAGUAACGGCGAGUGAAGCGGCAACAGCUCAAAUUUGAAAUCUGGCCCCCGGGCCCGAGUUGUAAUUUGCAGAGGAUGCUUUUGGCGCGGUGCCUUCCGAGUUCCCUGGAACGGGACGCCAUAGAGGGUGAGAGCCCCGUACGGUUGGACACCAAGCCUAUGUAAAGCUCCUUCGACGAGUCGAGUAGUUUGGGAAUGCUGCUCAAAAUGGGAGGUAUAUUUCUUCUAAAGCUAAAUACCGGCCAGAGACCGAUAGCGCACAAGUAGAGUGAUCGAAAGAUGAAAAGCACUUUGAAAAGAGGGUUAAACAGCACGUGAAAUUGUUAAAAGGGAAGCGCUUGUGACCAGACUUGCGCCCGGUGAAUCACCCAGCCCUCGCGGCUGGGGCACUUUGCCGGCUCAGGCCAGCAUCAGCUCGCCGUCGGGGACAAAAGCUUCGGGAACGUAGCUCUCUUCGGGGAGUGUUAUAGCCCGUUGCAUAAUACCCUUCGGCGGGCUGAGGUACGCGCUCCGCAAGGAUGCUGGCGUAAUGGUCAUCAGCGACCCGUCUUGAAACACGGACCAAGGAGUCAACCUUAUAUGCGAGUGUUUGGGUGUCAAACCCCUACGCGUAAUGAAAGUGAACGCAGGUGAGAGCUUCGGCGCAUCAUCGACCGAUCCUGAUGUUCUCGGAUGGAUUUGAGUAAGAGCAUAUAGGGUUGGACCCGAAAGAAGGUGAACUAUGCGUGUAUAGGGUGAAGCCAGAGGAAACUCUGGUGGAGGCUCGCAGCGGUUCUGACGUGCAAAUCGAUCGUCAAAUAUGCGCAUGGGGGCGAAAGACUAAUCGAACCUUCUAGUAGCUGGUUUCCGCCGAA